rnacentral:rRNA from 1 species
AUUGAACGCUGGCGGCAGGCCUAACACAUGCAAGUCGAGCGGAUGAAGGGAGCUUGCUCCUGGAUUCAGCGGCGGACGGGUGAGUAAUGCCUAGGAAUCUGCCUGGUAGUGGGGGAUAACGUCCGGAAACGGGCGCUAAUACCGCAUACGUCCUGAGGGAGAAAGUGGGGGAUCUUCGGACCUCACGCUAUCAGAUGAGCCUAGGUCGGAUUAGCUAGUUGGUGGGGUAAAGGCCUACCAAGGCGACGAUCCGUAACUGGUCUGAGAGGAUGAUCAGUCACCCGGGACCUGGGCACCGGUCAAGCCCCCUCGGGGAGGCACCGGUGGGAAUUUUUGGCCAAUGGGCGAAAGCCUGUCCCAGCCAUGCCGCGUGUGUGAAGAAGGUCUUCGGAUUGUAAAGCCCUUUAAGUUGGGAGGAAGGGAAGUAAGUUAAUACCUUGCUGUUUUGCCGUUACAACAGAAUAAGCACCGGCUAACUUCGUG